GAUGAACGCUGGCGGCGUGCUUAACACAUGCAAGUCGAACGAUGAAGCCCAGCUUGCUGGGUGGAUUAGUGGCGAACGGGUGAGUAACACGUGAGUAACCUGCCCUUAACUCUGGGAUAAGCCUGGGAAACUGGGUCUAAUACCGGAUAGGAGCGUCCACCGCAUGGUGGGUGUUGGAAAGAUUUAUCGGUUUUGGAUGGACUCGCGGCCUAUCAGCUUGUUGGUGAGGUAAUGGCUCACCAAGGCGACGACGGGUAGCCGGCCUGAGAGGGUGACCGGCCAACCUGGACAUGGGACAGGGCCAAGAUUCCUAGGGGAGGGGGCGGUGGGGAAUUUUGCCAAAGGGGCGCAAGCCUGAUGAAGCAACGCCGGGGGGGGAAUAGCGGCCUUGGGGUGUUAAACAUUUUUCAGUAGGGAAGAGGCGAAAGUGACGGUACCUGAAAAAGAAGCCCCGGCGAACUACGG
rnacentral:rRNA from 1 species